rnacentral:rRNA from 1 species
UAAUGCUAAUGUACAACUAGCAUCCGCCAGGGAACUACGAGCACCAGCUUAAAACCCAAAGGACUUGGCGGUGCCUCAGACCCCCCUAGAGGAGCCUGUUCUAGAACCGAUAACCCCCGUUCAACCUCACCACUCCUUGUCCUUUCCGCCUAUAUACCACCGUCGCCAGCUUACCCUGUGAAGGAAAAGUAAGCGAAAUGGAGACUCUCCAAAACGUCAGGUCGAGGUGUAGCACACGGAGUGGGAAGAAAUGGGCUACAUUGCCUGACUUAGGCUACCAACGGAAAGUCGCCUGAAAAGACUAUUUGAAGGUGGAUUUAGCAGUAAGAGGGGAAUAGA